rnacentral:rRNA from 1 species
UUGAACGCUGGCGGCAUGCUUUACACAUGCAAGUCGAACGGUAGAGGGCUUCGGCCCUUGGGAGUGGCGAACGGGUGAGUAAUGCAUCGGAACAUACCCAGUCGUGGGGGAUAACGUAGCGAAAGCGUGGCUAAUACCGCAUACGCCCUGAGGGGGAAAGCGGGGGACCUUCGGGCCUCGCGCGAUUGGAGCGGCUGAUGCCGGAUUAGCUGGUUGGUGGGGUAAAGGCCUACCAAGGCGACGAUCCGUAGCUGGUCUGAGAGGAUGAUCAGCCACACUGGGACUGAGACACGGCCCAGACUCCUACGGGAGGCAGCAGUGGGGAAUUUUGGACAAUGGGCGCAAGCCUGAUCCAGCCAUGCCGCGUGAGUGAAGAAGGCCUUCGGGUUGUAAAGCUCUUUCAGACGGAAAGAAAUCGGGCGGGUGAAUAGCCUGCCUGGAUGACGGUACUGUCAGAAGAAGCACCGGCUAACUACGU